rnacentral:rRNA from 1 species
AGGCAACGACUGGCGGCGUGCCUAUACAUGCAGUCGAACGCGGGCGUCUUAGGUAGCUUCAGAGCGCCACCAAGUGUUCUGUCCGUCAAGGUGGCGAACGGGUGAUAACACGUGGAUAACCUGCCUCAAGGCUGGGGAUAACAUUUGGAAACAGAUGCUAAUACCGAAUAAAACUUAGUAUCGCAUGAUACAAAGUUGAAAGGCGCUUCGGCGUCACCUAGAGAUGGGUCCGCGGUGCAUUAGUUAGUUGGUGGGGUAAAGGCCUACCAAGACAAUGAUGCAUAGCCGAGCUUGAGAGACUGAUCGGCCACAUUGGGACUGAGACACGGCCCAAACUCCUACGGGAGGCUGCAGUAGGGAAUCUUCCACAAUGGGCGCAAGCCUGAUGGAGCAACGCCGCGUGUGUGAUGAAGGCUUUAGGGUCGUAAAGCACUGUUGUAUGGGAAGAAAUGCUAGAAUAGGGAAUGAUUCUAGUUCGACGGUACCAUACCAGAAAGGGACGGCUAAAUACGUGCCAGCAGCCGCGGUAAUACGUAUGUCCCGAGCGUUAUCCGGAUUUAUUGGGCGUAAAGCGAGCGCAGACGGUUGAUUAAGUCUGAUGUGAAAGCCCGGAGCUCAACUCCGGAAUGGCAUUGGAAACUGGUUAACUUGAGUGUUGUAGAGGUAAGUGGAACUCCAUGUGUAGCGGUGGAAUGCGUAGAUAUAUGGAAGAACACCAGUGGCGAAGGCGGCUUACUGGACAACAACUGACGUUGAGGCUCGAAAGUGUGGGUAGCAAACAGGAUUAGAUACCCUGGUAGUCCACACCGUAAACGAUGAAUACUAGGUGUUAGGAGGUUUCCGCCUCUUAGUGCCGAAGCUAACGCAUUAAGUCUUCCGCCUGGGGAGUACGACCGCAAGGUUGAAACUCAAAGGAAUUGACGGGGACCCGCACAAGCGGUGGAGCAUGUGGUUUAAUUCGAAGCAACGCGAAGAACCUUACCAGGUCUUGACAUCCUUUGAAGCUUCUAGAGAUAGAAGUGUUCUCUUCGGAGACAAAGUGACAGGUGGUGCAUGGUCGUCGUCAGCUCGUGUCGUGAGAUGU